rnacentral:rRNA from 1 species
UACGGAGGGUGCAAGCGUUGUCCGGAUUUAUUGGGUAUAAAGGGUGCGUAGGUGGCCUUAUAAGUCAGCGGUGAAAGUCUGUAGCUUAACUAUAGAACUGCCAUUGAUACUGUAAGGCUUGAGUACUGAUGAGGUAGGCGGAAUUGAUAGUGUAGCGGUGAAAUGCAUAGAUAUUAUCAAGAACACCGAUUGCGAAGGCAGCUUACUAAGGAGUUACUGACACAGAGGCACGAAAGCGUGGGGGUCAAACAGG